GCGGUAGUAGUUUAGUGGCAGAAUAGGGGACUGUGGAUCCUCUGGCGCGGGUUCGAUUCCCGUCUACCGCC
rnacentral:tRNA from 1 species